rnacentral:lncRNA from 1 species
GUGUGUGUGGUUAGGAAGCGAAGAGGAGGCUCUGCAAACACCUCGGUGGGCAGCGGGAGCGCGAGAGUGGCACACACGGGGUCACGCAGCAGCACAGCAGGUGGCACUUACUUCUGUUCAGCACGACCCUCUUCUGUUAACACCGGUCAUGGGAGCAAAUGAAAAUGACAAAUGGAAUGACUUGAGACAACACUGCAAAAAUUAAUGAACAAGAAAGGAAGAAACAGAAAAAAGCUGCUUUUCGACAGAUGAAAUG